CACAAUUGUAAAAGUAUCACAACUUCUAACAGUUUCUACAGAAGACUUGUGAGGACAUGGCCAGUCGUUUAAACGACUUUCUGAUAACUGUUUGAGAAGUACACAUAUAGUCAUUCAUAAUGGAAGAUUUGGUCUAACAAAUUCUACAUUAAACAAAAUAAUAUCAUUAAUGUUUUGUAUAUAUUCUGAGAUUGGUGACUGAUGAGGAGCUGUAUAGUAAACUGAUGUUAAGACAGUGUGAUGACUGAUGUUAAGACAGUGUGGUGACUGAUGUUAAGACGGUGUGGUAACUGAUGUUAAGACGGUGUGGUGACUGAUGUUAAGACGGUGUGGUGACUGAUGUUAAGACGGUGUGGUGACUGAUGUUAAGACAGUGUGGUGACUGAUGUUAAGACAGUGUGGUGACUGAUGUUAAGACGGUGUGGUGACUGUGUGGUGACUGAUGUUAAGACGGUGUGGUGACUGAUGUUAAGACGGUGUGGUGACUGAUGUUAAGACAGUGUGGUGACUGAUGUUAAGACGGUGUGGUGACUGAUGUUAAGACUGUGUGGUGACUGAUGUUAAGACGGUGUGGUGACUGUGUGGUGACUGAUGUUAAGACGGUGUGGUGACUGUGUGGUGACUGAUGUUAAGACAGUGUGGUGACUGAUGUUAAGACGGUGUGGUGACUGAUGUUAAGACGGUGUGGUGACUGAUGUUAAGACGGUGUGGUGACUGUGUGGUGACUGAUGUUAAGACGGUGUGGUGACUGAUGUUAAGACGGUGUGGUGACUGUGUGGUGACUGAUGUUAAGACAGUGUGGUGACUGAUGUUAAGACGGUGUGGUGACUGAUGUUAAGACGGUGUGGUGACUGUGUGGUGACUGAUGUUAAGACAGUGUGGUGACUGAUGUUAAGACGGUGUGGUGACUGAUGUUAAGACUGUGUGGUGACUGAUGUUAAGACGGUGUGGUGACUGAUGUUAAGACGGUGUGGUGACUGAUGUUAAGACGGUGUGGUGACUGAUGUUAAGACGGUGUGGUGACUGAUGUUAAGGACA